rnacentral:rRNA from 1 species
GACGACGCUGGGCGGCGUGCCUAAUGCAUGCAAGUCGAGCGGGCUACGAUCUUCGGAUUGUAGCUUAGCGGCGAACGGGUGAGUAACACGUAGGUAAUCUACCCUUCAGAGGAGGACAACCUCAGGAAACUGAGGCUAAACCUUCAUACGUUCACUGGUAGGGAUACUGGUGAAGAAAGAGUUACCUUAAAGGUAGCUGCUGAAGGAUGAGCCUGCGGCCCAUCAGGUAGUUGGUGAGGUAACGGCUCACCAAGCCGAAGACGGGUAACCGGUCUGAGAGGAUGUCCGGUCACACUGGGACUGAGACACGGCCCAGACUCCUACGGGAGGCAGCAGCAGGGAAUCUUGGGCAAUGGGCGAAAGCCUGACCCAGCGACGCCGCGUGGAGGAAGAAGUCCUUCGGGGCGUAAACUCCUGGACUGGGGGACGAGGAAGGACGGUACCCCAGUAGAAAGGGACGGCUAACUACGUG